CCGUGUUACUGCGCAAGAGAGGGGACAAUAGGGUGUCCCUGGAAUAGAGAAGGCGAGCGGAAGAGAGGGGGCAACGUGCCCCUGGAAUAGAGAAGGCGAGCGGAAGAGAGGGGGCGACGAAAAAGAAGAAGAAAAGAAGACGAGAUCAGUACUGCGUGUUGGGGAGAAAGGAGUGGUGACGUACGCCUCGAGCGGCGUCAGUUCCCCAGACUGGCGACGACGGCGCUCUGGAAGGACGGGGCGGCUACGCUCGUAGAGAGGGAAAGUGGACGGGAGCUUCGAUGGGGAGACCGACGACGUACAUGUCUCCGUAGUGCGUGAGGGGCACCGAGCGGCCUUAGGGGGAGCUCCGUAACGACGUUCGUCCCCCGCGGCCACCGGUACCCGACGUCACUCCUGCUACCCGCGCGUGGAAAAAUUACCGGUCCACAACUAAAAACGACGCUGUAAGCAGCCUAAAACGACCUUGGUUGCUGUUCAAAACGACCUUGGCCGGUACCUUAAAAACCGUUGGCAACAGGCUCCUUCGAUGGUGGUCGAAGAUUUUUUCGAAGUUUUGUCUCCCCUUCUACACCCCGUCGGUGGCGUGUUUGACUUUUCGAAGUUGGCCGACGUUCUAUCGAUGUUGUCCAGAAUACUCUUCGAAGUUGGCUCCUUGCUGCUCUACUGAACGCUGCCGCCGAUCCAAGUGAAAAGCGACGUUGGUAUCAACGAAAAACGAUGCUGGCCGUCCCAAAAACGAUGUAGGAAAGGUACCACGUUGCUGUCUUUUCGAUGUAGGCCACCAUCUUUUCGAAGUUCACCGUAUGACCCCGCUGCUGACUUCUUUUCGAUGUAAGUCGCCAUCUUUUAGAAGUUCCCCGCCGCGUUAAACGACGGUGGUAACUGCCUUCGUUGCUCUACUCGAAAAAGUACCGACCAUACCACGAUGUUUCGUACCGCUGCUGCUCUUGACGUCGUUGGUUUUGU
rnacentral:rRNA from 1 species